AGAGUUUGAUCCUGGCUCAGAUUGAACGCUGGCGGCAGGCCUAACACAUGCAAGUCGAGCGGUAGAGAGGUGCUUGCACCUCUUGAGAGCGGCGGACGGGUGAGUAAAGCCUAGGAAUCUGCCUGGUAGUGGGGGAUAACGCUCGGAAACGGACGCUAAUACCGCAUACGUCCUACGGGAGAAAGCAGGGGACCUUCGGGCCUUGCGCUAUCAGAUGAGCCUAGGUCGGAUUAGCUAGUUGGUGAGGUAAUGGCUCACCAAGGCGACGAUCCGUAACUGGUCUGAGAGGAUGAUCAGUCACACUGGAACUGAGACACGGUCCAGACUCCUACGGGAGGCAGCAGUGGGGAAUAUUGGACAAUGGGCGAAAGCCUGAUCCAGCCAUGCCGCGUGUGUGAAGAAGGUCUUCGGAUUGUAAAGCACUUUAAGUUGGGAGGAAGGGCAUUAACCUAAUACGUUAGUGUUUUGACGUUACCGACAGAAUAAGCACCGGCUAACUCUGUGCCAGCAGCCGCGGUAAUACAGAGGGUGCAAGCGUUAAUCGGAAUUACUGGGCGUAAAGCGCGCGUAGGUGGUUCGUUAAGUUGGAUGUGAAAUCCCCGGGCUCAACCUGGGAACUGCAUUCAAAACUGUCGAGCUAGAG
rnacentral:rRNA from 1 species